GACGAACGCUGGCGGCGCGCCUAACACAUGCAAGUCGAACGAGAGAUGAGGAGCUUGCCCUUCAAAUCGAGUGGCGAACGGGUGAGUAACGCGUGAGGAACCUGCCUCAAAGAGGGGGACAACAGUUGGAAACGACUGCUAAUACCGCAUAAGCCCACGGCUCGGCAUCGAGCAGAGGGAAAAGGAGCAAUCCGCUUUGAGAUGGCCUCGCGUCCGAUUAGCUAGUUGGUGAGGUAACGGCCCACCAAGGCGACGAUCGGUAGCCGGACUGAGAGGUUGAACGGCCACAUUGGGACUGAGACACGGCCCAGACUCCUACGGGAGGCAGCAGUGGGGAAUAUUGCACAAUGGGGGAAACCCUGAUGCAGCGACGCCGCGUGGAGGAAGAAGGUCUUCGGAUUGUAAACUCCUGUUGUUGAGGAAGAUAAUGACGGUACUCAACAAGGAAGUGACGGCUAACUACGUGCCAGCAGCCGCGGUAAAACGUAGGUCACAAGCGUUGUCCGGAAUUACUGGGUGUAAAGGGAGCGCAGGCGGGAGAACAAGUUGGAAGUGAAAUCCAUGGGCUCAACCCAUGAACUGCUUUCAAAACUGUUUUUCUUGAGUAGUGCAGAGGUAGGCGGAAUUCCCGGUGUAGCGGUGGAAUGCGUAGAUAUCGGGAGGAACACCAGUGGCGAAGGCGGCCUACUGGGCACCAACUGACGCUGAGGCUCGAAAGUGUGGGUAGCAAACAGGAUUAGAUACCCUGGUAGUCCACACCGUAAACGAUGAUUACUAGGUGUUGGAGGAUUGACCCCUUCAGUGCCGCAGUUAACACAAUAAGUAAUCCACCUGGGGAGUACGACCGCAAGGUUGAAACUCAAAGGAAUUGACGGGGGCCCGCACAAGCAGUGGAGUAUGUGGUUUAAUUCGACGCAACGCGAAGAACCUUACCAAGUCUUGACAUCCCUUGACGAUGCUGGAAACAGUAUUUCUCUUCGGAGCAAGGAGACAGGUGGUGCAUGGUUGUCGUCAGCUCGUGUCGUGAGAUGUUGGGUUAAGUCCCGCAACGAGCGCAACCCUUAUGGUCAGUUACUACGCAAGAGGACUCUGGCCAGACUGCCGUUGACAAAACGGAGGAAGGUGGGGAUGACGUCAAAUCAUCAUGCCCUUUAUGACUUGGGCUACACACGUACUACAAUGGCGUUAAACAAAGAGAAGCAAGACCGCGAGGUGGAGCAAAACUCAGAAACAACGUCCCAGUUCGGACUGCAGGCUGCAACUCGCCUGCACGAAGUCGGAAUUGCUAGUAAUCGUGGAUCAGCAUGCCACGGUGAAUACGUUCCCAGGCCUU
rnacentral:rRNA from 1 species